GACGAACCGUGCGAACGUUGUUCGGAUUCACUGGGCUUAAAGGGCGCGUAGGCGGGCGACCAAGUCAGGGGUGAAAUCUUUCGGCCCAACCGGAAAAGUGCCCCUGAUACUGGCCGACUCGAGGGGGGUAGGGGCAUGCGGAACUUCCGGUGGAGCGGUGAAAUGCGUAGAUAUCGGAAGGAACGCCGGUGGCGAAAGCGGCGUGCUGGACCCCUUCUGACGCUGAGGCGCGAAAGCCAGGGGAGCAAACGGG
rnacentral:rRNA from 1 species